CCUUGUCACUUGUUCGUCCUGU
rnacentral:miRNA from 8 species